UAAGGUCUGGGGGUUCGGGUUCCGGCCAUUUCAGCUACGCCUCGGGGUUUGUUUAAUCCUUUAUUUCUCGUAUUGUGAAGGGAUCGAUCUGCAGCGCCGUGGGACCUCCGUGGCUGGGUGUAAGCGGCAGGCUGUGCCUGGCGUGUCUUCAGGAGCAGCUCUGCGGGAGGCGCGCUGUGCGGUGUAACGGGCACCGGGCUUGGCGCAGCCUGGCGAUGACCGGCUGGAUCUGCGUGUAUGCCGCACGCCUGUCUCAGGGGCAUUGCUCGCUGGGCCUGGCAAAGCAAGAAGUGCAGCUCAUCCUCUAGGUACAGCAGCUUCAAUGUGUUACAGGUGAAGAAAAGUGAGGAGAUGCUGCCCCUUGAACAGCCUUACCCUCCCCAAAAAGGAAGAACACUUGAAGUUGAUCCUGAUUUCAACAAAAGUUUUCAUUCCAGCUACUUGCUCUUUUCAGUGCAGAUGCACAUUCAGCAGUAUAACUCUUUUCCAGACCCUGUCCUCCUCUCAUUAAUAAUUACAUGCAAGUAAUGAAUAAUCCAGUAAAGCCUGUGGAAUCAGAUUUCCACAAAGUUCAUGUGUGCAACAGAAGGACAAAGUAUGGGAUGUAGCAGUGAUGUACUGUGAUCAGCAUGAGCUACGGCUCAAGUAAUGAAAUGGGACUAUGAACUCUCUGUGCACGCAUACAGUUUACUAAUGCAGUGCUCAUUGUUGUGAGAAGAAAAUGGUUGGCAGAAAGUUUGUUAAUUCUUUCUAUCUUUUAAAAAAAGGAAACUACAAAACCAGAUAUGAAUAUUUAUUAGCCUUUGAACAGGUACUUGUUACCAGCCUCUCAAAAAAGCCUUUCAAGUCUUACAAGAAGACUUUUUUUUUUUUUAAAGCACACAAGCCUUUCUUGCUUAUGUCAUGUCUGCAGCAACUUUAAAAAUAUCUUUCAGAUUCAAAUCAUACGUAGAAUUCGAGCCUUGGAGCAAUACUACAAAUAGAGUCUACAUCCAUUGCCUUUUCUGCAAGAUAAAAACAUACUAAGAAAAUCGCUUUAAGAACAGUUUCUGUGUGGAAAUCCAGGAUAUUCUGAAAUGCUUAGCACAUUUGGGAGUAUGUAUCUUAUGUUAUUGUACAGUAUAUUUGCAGAGAUCUUAGAAACACUUUUAACUUACAAUCCAGAAAUCACUUGGUGCUUAUUUGCAUCAUAUUCGUAUUUUUUUUUCCAUAAGUCAUAGUGGUGCAUGCAGGUAGUUAGAAAGUUUACAAUUGCCGUAAGGUAACCAUAUGAUUACCACAUCCUUUGAGAGUCCAGCACAGAAUCUGUGGAAGGCGACAAAAAGCCAGCAAACUUAUUCAGUUAUCACAACACCAAAGAUUUUUCUUCCAUCGGAGUUGAAAUGCCAUAGCUUGUCCUUUUUCUGAACCCCUAGAAUGGUCUCACCAUAUUUUGUACGGGCACUUAAAACUUGAUAUAUGCACCUUUUGCACUUUUGAGUAGUGGCACUUGGUUGGCUGUUCUAAACUAUUACUUGGAGGUGCUUGGAAAUACCCAUCUCACUUGUCUGGGCUGGGGAGCAGGACUUCGGUUAGAGAUAGGGUGAGAAAUGGGUAAAAAUAACCUGCCCUCAACAAAAAUCUUUAUGAUGCGGAAUGUUUUUCUGGACUGUGUGACCAGGAAAUAAAUAAGAUAAUUUAGGAAGAGUAGGAUAGAAU
ensembl:lncRNA